CACUUCCUGCCCGCGCACACGGCCUGCUGCUGUUUUUAUGAACUCGUAUUGGAUAUUUGCUUAUCCUUAGUAGCGUCUAUCGGAGGCGAAAAAGAGGACAAUACACGAAAUAUACGAGCUGGAGUAACCGCAGUCAAGGUCUUCCUAUAACGGCAAAAACAUGUGUUAUGUGAAUUAGACCCCUUGAUGGACUGCUGUCUUCUUCAGUGCUCGCACCUACUUUCAGCCUUAUGAUUCCAAGAUAUAAACUCCAUCACCCCUUGACCUUGAACUGGAUUAAGCAGGUGGCGGCUUCAAGGCUCUUACAAGGUAAGCAGUUCCACCCCGGGAUGAGUGUCCUUUCUGUCUGCAGUUGUGAGGGGCAGGUCCCAGAAGACACCCGACUUCACUUUCCCUUCAAACCAGAAAGCCCUAUCCCUUGUGGAAGGACCAGUUAUAUAUAAUGGCCAGCUAAAGGAAGCGACCAUUUAUUUUGGGAUCUGCACUGGAGAGAGACAGUUCUCACUAAGCAACAAUCCAUAAAGCAAUCUGAACCAUGGCGGAGGCCGUAAUCACUCAUUAUUUUCUUUUUUUGGGCCAUUAAAAGGGGUUUACCUGGGUGGGAAAGAAAUAUUGUUUAUAGUGGAAGAGUCUGUGUAAGAUAUUUCUUUAAAAUAAACUCGU